GAUGAACGCUGGCGGCGUGCCUAAUACAUGCAAGUCGAGCGAACGGACGAGAAGCUGGCUUUUCUGAUGUUAGCGGCGGACGGGUGAGUAACACGUGGAUAACCUACCUAUAAGACUGGGAUAACUUCGGGAAACCGGAGCUAAUACCGGAUAAUAUUUUGAACCGAAUGGUUCAAAAGGGAAAGACGGUCUUGCUGUCACUUAUAGAUGGAUCCGCGCUGCAUUAGCUAGUUGGUAAGGUAACGGCUUACCAAGGCAACGAUGCAUAGCCGACCUGAGAGGGUGAUCGGCCACACUGGAACUGAGACACGGUCCAGACUCCUACGGGAGGCAGCAGUAGGGAAUCUUCCGCAAUGGGCGAAAGCCUGACGGGGCAACGCCGCGUGAGUGAUGAAGGUCUUCGGAUCGUAAAACUCUGUUAUUAGGGAAGAACAUAUGUGUAAGUAACUGUGCACAUCUUGACGGUACCUAAUCAGAAAGCCACGGCUAACUACGUG
rnacentral:rRNA from 1 species